rnacentral:rRNA from 1 species
UACGUAGGGUGCAAGCGUUAAUCGGAAUUACUGGGCGUAAAGCGUGCGCAGGCGGUUAUGUAAGACAGGUGUGAAAUCCCCGGGCCUAACCUGGGAACUGCAUUUGUGACUGCAUAGCUAGAGUACGGCAGGGGGGGAUGGAAUUCCGCGUGUAGCAGUGAAAUGCGUAGAUAUGCGGAGGAACACCGAUGGCGAAGGCAAUCCCCUGGGCCUGUACUGACGCUCAUGCACGAAAGCGUGGGGAGCAAACAGG